rnacentral:rRNA from 1 species
AGGACGAACGCUGGCGGCGUGCUUAACACAUGCAAGUCGAACGGUAAGGCCCCUUCGGGGGUACACGAGUGGCGAACGGGUGAGUAACACGUGGGUAAUCUGCCCUGCACUUCGGGAUAAGCCUGGGAAACUGGGUCUAAUACCGGAUAUGAACUCCUGCCGCAUGGUGGGGGUUGGAAAGUUUUUCGGUGCAGGAUGAGCCCGCGGCCUAUCAGCUUGUUGGUGGGGUAAUGGCCUACCAAGGCGACGACGGGUAGCCGGCCUGAGAGGGUGAUCGGCCACACUGGGACUGAGACACGGCCCAGACUCCUACGGGAGGCAGCAGUGGGGAAUAUUGCACAAUGGGCGAAAGCCUGAUGCAGCGACGCCGCGUGGGGGAUGACGGUCUUCGGAUUGUAAACCCCUUUCAGUAGGGACGAAGCGCAAGUGACGGUACCUGCAAGAAGAAGCAACCGGCUAACACGUGCCAGCAGCCGC